rnacentral:rRNA from 1 species
CCUACGGGUGGCAGCAGUCGAGAAUCAUUCACAAUGGGGGAAACCCUGAUGGUGCGACGCCGCGUGGGGGAAUGAAGGUCUUCGGAUUGUAAACUCCUGUCAUGUGGGAGCAAAUUAAAAAGAUAGUACCACAAGAGGAAGAGACGGCUAACUCUGUGCCAGCAGCCGCGGUAAUACAGAGGUCUCAAGCGUUGUUCGGAAUCACUGGGCGUAAAGCGUGCGUAGGCUGUUUCGUAAGUCGUGUGUGAAAGGCGAGGGCUCAACCCGCGGACGGCACAUGAUACUGCGAGACUAGAGUAAUGGAGGGGGAACCGGAAUUCUCGGUGUAGCAGUGAAAUGCGUAGAUAGCGAGAGGAACACUCGUGGCGAAGGCGGGUUCCUGGACAUUAACUGACGCUGAGGCACGAAGGCCAGGGGAGCGAAAGGGAUUAGAUACCCUAGUAGUC